UCCUGGUUAACCCAGGCAGUCUCAUUAGAGUUCCCACCUUAUAUGUUGGCAACUAAUGAUAAGGGUUGCGCUCGUUGCGGGACUUAACCCAACACCUCACGGCACGAGCUGACGACAGCCAUGCAGCACCUGUGCACAGACUCCUAAGAGAAUUACCAUCUCUGGUAACGUCCUGUGCAUGUCAAGCCUGGGUAAGGUUCUUCGCGUUGCAUCGAAUUAAACCACAUGCUCCACUGCUUGUGCGGGUCCCCGUCAAUUCUUUUGAGUUUCAGCCUUGCGACUGUACUCCCCAGGCGGUAUACUUAUCGCGUUAGCUUCGGCACAGCCAGGGUUGAGUCCGGCUACACCAAGUAUACAUCGUUUACGGCAAGGACUAC
rnacentral:misc_RNA from 1 species